rnacentral:rRNA from 1 species
UACAGAGGUGGCAAGCGUUGUUCGGAUUUACUGGGCGUAAAGGGCGCGUAGGCGGUCAGCACAAGUCAGUUGUGAAAUCUCCGGGCUUAACUCGGAAAGGUCAACUGAUACUGUGCGACUAGAGUGCGGAAGGGGCAACUGGAAUUCUCGGUGUAGCGGUGAAAUGCGUAGAUAUCGAGAGGAACACCUGCGGCGAAGGCGGCUCACUGGCCCGAUACUGACGCUGAGGUGCGAAAGCGUGGGGAGCAAACAGG